rnacentral:rRNA from 1 species
CUACGGGGUGCAGCAGUUAGGGAUAUUCGGCAAUGGGGGAAACCCUGACCGAGCAAUGCCGCGUGAAUGAAGAAGUAUUUCGAUAUGUAAAGUUCUGUUGUUAAGGAAGAAAGGUACGAAUAGGAAAUGAUUCGUAAUUGACGGUACUUAACCAGAAAGCCCCUGCUAACUACGUGCCAGCAGCAGCGGUAAUACGUAGGGGGCGAGCGUUAUCCGGAAUUAUUGGGCGUAAAGGGUGCGUAGGCGGCCUGUCAAGUCCGAGUUGAAAGCCCACGGCUUAACCGUGGAGGGUGCUCGGAAACUGAUAGGCUUGAAUCCAGAAGAGGCAGGUGGAAUUCUAUGUGGAGCGGUGGAAUGCGUAGAUAUAUGGAGGAACACCAGUGGCGAAGGCGGCUUGCUGGGCUGGUAUUGACGCUGAUGCACGAAAGCGUGGGGAGCAAACAGGAUUAGAUACCCCAGUAGUC